rnacentral:rRNA from 1 species
ACGCUGGCGGCAGGCCUAACACAUGCAAGCCGAGCGGUAGAGAGAAGCUUGCUUCUCUUGAGAGCGGCGGACGGGUGAGUAAUGCCUAGGAAUCUGCCUGGUAGUGGGGGAUAACGUUCGGAAACGGACGCUAAUACCGCAUACGUCCUACGGGAGAAAGCAGGGGACCUUCGGGCCUUGCGCUAUCAGAUGAGCCUAGGUCGGAUUAGCUAGUUGGUGGGGUAAUGGCUCACCAAGGCGACGAUCCGUAACUGGUCUGAGAGGAUGAUCAGUCACACUGGAACCGAGACACGGUCCAGACUCCUACGGGAGGCAGCAGUGGGGAAUAUUGGACAAUGGGCGAAAGCCUGAUCCAGCCAUGCCGCGUGUGUGAAGAAGGUCUUCGGAUUGUAAAGCACUUUAAGUUGGGAGGAAGGGUUGUAGAUUAAUACUCUGCAAUUUUGACGUUACCGACAGAAUAAGCACCGGCUAACUCUGUGCCAGCAGCCGCGGUAAUACAGAGGGUGCAAGCGUUAAUCGGAAUUACUGGGCGUAAAGCGCGCGUAGGUGGUUAGUUAAGUUGGAUGUGAAAUCCCCGGGCUCAACCUGGGAACUGCAUUCAAAACUGACUGACUAGAGUAUGGUAGAGGGUGGUGGAAUUUCCUGUGUAGCGGUGAAAUGCGUAGAUAUAGGAAGGAACACCAGUGGCGAAGGCGACCACCUGGACUGAUACUGACACUGAGGUGCGAAAGCGUGGGGAGCGAAC